rnacentral:tRNA from 2 species
UGGAUGUAGUUCAGUGGAAGAGUGCUUGCCUCACAAGCAUGAGGCCCCUGGGUUCAAUCCCCAGUAACUCAA